ACGGGUUAAUAUUCCCGUACUUGUUAUUACUGCGAUGGAGAGACGGAGUAGGCUAGGCGAUCGCGGCGUUGGUUGUCCGCGUUUAAGGUUGUAGGCUGGGGGAUUAGGCAAAUCCGGUCCCCUAAGGCUGAGAGCUGAUGACGAGUCCUCUUUUGGACGAAGUCGUUGAUGCCAUGCUUCCAAGAAAAUCUUCUAAGCUUCAGGUAAUAACGAACCGUACCCCAAACCGACACAGGU
rnacentral:rRNA from 1 species